rnacentral:rRNA from 1 species
CUCAAGGGGGUUUUUGGUUGGGGCAACCGCGAAGAAAAAAUAACCUUCGUACAACAAAAGACAAACAAAUCUAAAACUACCUUAUAGAAAUGAUCCAGAAACUGAUCAAGGAAAAAAGUUACCGCAGGGAUAACAGCGUUAUUCUUUCUGAGAGCUCUUAUUGACGAAAGAGUUUGCGACCUCGAUGUUGGACCGGGGCACCCAAGAGGUGCAGCAGCCUCUAAUGGUAGGUCUGUUCGACCUUUAAAGCCCUACGUGAUCUGAGUUCAGACCGACGCAAGUCAGGUCAGUUUCUAUCUA